rnacentral:rRNA from 1 species
GACGAACGCUGGCGGCGUGCUUAACACAUGCAAGUCGAACGGAAAGGCCCUGCUUUUGUGGGGUGCUCGAGUGGCGAACGGGUGAGUAACACGUGAGUAACCUGCCCUUGACUUUGGGAUAACUUCAGGACACUGGGGCUAAUACCGGAUAGGAGCUCCUGCUGCAUGGUGGGGGUUGGAAAGUUUCGGCGGUUGGGGAUGGACUCGCGGCUUAUCAGCUUGUUGGUGGGGUAGUGGCUUACCAAGGCGUUGACGGGUAGCCGGGCUGAGAGGGUGACCCGCCACAAUGGGAAUGAGGAACGGGCCCAACUCCCAAGGGGGGGAAGAGUGGGGAAUAUUGCCAAAAGGGGGGAAGCCUGAAGCAGACACGCCCGGGGGGGGAAGAACGCCUUUGGGUUUGAAACCCCUUUCCGCCGGGAAGAAGGGGAAGGGGCGGUAAAUGGGGAAAAAGGACCGGCUAAAUACGUG